rnacentral:lncRNA from 1 species
AUUUACAACAAUUUUGCCCUUUUCAAGUCUUUCUUAGACAUCUCGGCAACCAUCCCUUUUAUCAAACCAAGUUUUUGAUUUCACAAUCACUAAAAUCAACCUAUUAAUCUUUAAUUAUCAGCACCUUCAUCCAAGAAAUUUAUCGAUUCUUUUGGAUGGGAUCUCACGAUCAAAACAAGAAGAAAAAUAUAUAGAUAGGUGUAUAUCAUAAAAGAUUAUAAAUCUUUUUAGGUAACUUCAGUAUGAUACAAUUACUAACUUGCUGAUUCACUAGAAGAAUCCUCCCAA